CCUGCACUCAAAAGUAGAAAACUGGGGGUUCACUAAAAUUUUGAAUUGCAUGUGUGUUUUGGGGUGUAUGUAUGUAAUGCUUAUAUAUCUGAGUAUCUGUAUGUCUGUGUAUCUGCAUUUGUUUUAUUGUUUGCAUCUGAGUUUCUGUUCCUCUGUGUCAGUUCCUGUGUGCCAUUGUAUGUGGAUGAAUGUCAGUGGUUGUAUCUGUGUGUCUGUACAUCAGUAUGUGUGUCAGCGUGUAUCUGCAUAUGUGGAAGUGUUUGUAUUUGUGUGUUUGUACAUCUGUAUGUGUGUCACUGUGUAUCUGUAUGUGUCAGUGUGUGCAUAUGUGAACUAUGUAUCUGCAUGUGUUGCAGUGUUUGUACUUGUGUGAGGGUGUGUAUCUGUUUGUGUCAGUGUCUGUACACCUGCAUGUAUGUCACUGUUUGUAUGUGUGUACAUGCAUGUGUGCCAGUGUGUCUGUGCAACUGUAUAUUUGUCAGUGUUUGUAUCUGUAUGUCUGUGUAUCUACAUGUUUCAUUGUGUAUCUGCAUGGGUGUCAGUGUUUGGACUUGUGUAUAUGUAAAUCUGUAUGUGUUGCUGUGUGUAUCUGCAUGUGUGGCAGUGUUUGUACUUGUGUAUCUGUACAUCUGUAUGUGUGGCAGUGUGUAUCUG